CAAUCGGCCCUUUUCAGGGCCAAAAUACGUUCAUAAAAGGGUUUAU
rfam:Aedes aegypti strain Liverpool supercont1.326 genomic scaffold, whole genome shotgun sequence.